GACGAACGCUGGCGGCGUGCCUAAUACAUGCAAGUCGAGCGAAUCAAUGGGAGCUUGCUCCCUGAGAUUAGCGGCGGACGGGUGAGUAACACGUGGGUAACCUGCCUGUAAGACUGGGAUAACUUCGGGAAACCGGAGCUAAUACCGGAUAGUUUCUUUUCUCGCAUGAGAGAAGAUGGAAAGAUGGUUUCGGCUAUCACUUACAGAUGGACCCGCGGCGCAUUAGCUAGUGGGGGAGGUAACGGCUCACCAAGGCGACGAUGCGUAGCCGACCUGAGAGGGGGAUCGGCCACACUGGGACUGAGACACGGCCCAGACUCCGACGGGAGGCAGCAGUAGGGAAUCUUCCGCAAUGGACGAAAGUCUGACGGAGCAACGCCGCGUGAGCGAAGAAGGCCUUCGGGUCGUAAAGCUCUGUUGUUAGGGAAGAACAAGUACGAGAGUAACUGCUCGUACCUUGACGGUACCUAACCAGAAAGCCACGGCUAACUACGUGCCAGCCGCCGCAGUAAGAC
rnacentral:rRNA from 1 species